UACGUAGGUGGCGAGCGUUGUCCGGAUUUAUUGGGCGUAAAGAGUGUGUAGGCGGUGCUCUAAGUUUGGUGUGAAAUCUCCCGGCUCAACUGGGAGGGUGCGCCGAAAACUGGAAUGCUUGAACAUGGGAGAGGAAAGCGGAAUUCCUGGUGUAGCGGUGAAAUGCGUAGAUAUCAGGAGGAACACCUGCGGUGUAGACGGCUUUCUGGACCAUUGUUGACGCUGAGACACGAAAGCGUGGGUAGCAAACAGG
rnacentral:rRNA from 1 species